rnacentral:rRNA from 1 species
AUUGAACGCUGGCGGCAUGCUUUACACAUGCAAGUCGAACGGCAGCGCGGGCUUCGGCCUGGCGGCGAGUGGCGAACGGGUGAGUAAUGCAUCGGAACGUGCCCAGUAGUGGGGGAUAGCCCGGCGAAAGCCGGAUUAAUACCGCAUACGACCUGAGGGUGAAAGCGGGGGACCGAAAGGCCUCGCGCUAUUGGAGCGGCCGAUGUCGGAUUAGCUAGUUGGUGGGGUAAAGGCUUACCAAGGCGACGAUCCGUAGCUGGUCUGAGAGGACGACCAGCCACACUGGGACUGAGACACGGCCCAGACUCCUACGGGAGGCAGCAGUGGGGAAUUUUGGACAAUGGGGGCAACCCUGAUCCAGCCAUGACGCGUGCGGGAAGAAGGCCUUCGGGUUGUAAACCGCUUUUGUUCGGGAAGAAAUCCUCUGGGCUAAUACCCCGGGGGGAUGACGGUACCGGAAGAAUAAGCACCGGCUAACUACGUG